AUAGUAUAAUCAUCAUUAUCGCAACUGUCAGCCUCAUUUAACCCCGCUGAUCUCCCAUGAUUCUCCGCCGUCAGGUCUGAUUGCCUACCUUCUGCCGACGGGCUGAUAAUGCCUGACAGAUUAACCCUCCCCAAGAGGAAGACAAUGAUACAUAGGACAGCGCCGAGCGCGCUAUAUAUUAAUGAGGAGCUGGCAAGGCUUUGAUAAGGCUGCAGAAUAAUCCAUCAGUGGGGAAGGAGCUUGUAAAACGGGAGGAACGUUUCAUGGGAAAACACCUGGGAAGGGUGUAACGACCCGGCAGCUAAACGCUGUCAGCUGCCUCUCCCCGCGUGUAAUUAGCAUCAGACAGGGCGCGCGGCUGGCCCGCGAAGUCCAUCAGCCCCGGGACCCAGCCUCACUCGCUCCACGCUGGCCCCACCGCGCUCCCGCGUUUACAGCGUAUUUAGCAAGCCGGCAAUUAAUAGCUCGCGUUCUUGGGCAUCAGAAACUGUUUAUCUUCUUCUGAACGUGCUCUCGCCGGAGGCUGUUACCUGGGAAAGGCAGGAGCCGCUGGCGUUUUCUGCCGCACUUACUCCACGGAGGCCGCUCCGCCAUUAGAUACAAUGCCUCAGAUGGCUACUUGAGCUUGAAUGCACCGUUAUUACAGGUGGCAUGCAUGCAAAUCUCCACUUUGCUGCUGUUUCUCCUCCCUGGAAAGCAUCCCAAAUGACUGAGGCAGAAACAGCUCCUCCAAACACGCCAAGCCACGACUAGAACACUUGUUUCAAGCGCCAGAUUGCCAAGCAGAGUCCCUCGACCCAAAAAGACAGCAGCUCGAUAGGAUUCACGGGCCUGUCCAGAAGAAAGAGAAACCAGCAAUGGCACAGACGGGUCCCUGGGCCGUCUGUCUGCUUCAGCAACCAGAUGGGCACCAAUCAGCAGCCGUCGUCCCAAGGUCUUAUGGGCACUUCACAAUGUUCUUGAGAAAAGCUACAAUAUGAACAAUGUAAGCCCAACAGUCAUGCGUUUAUC
ensembl:lncRNA